rnacentral:SRP_RNA from 1 species
UCACUGUAACGGUCGACAGUGGAACUGUAUUUUCCGAGAUUUCUGACCUGGGUUCAAACCCUGCGGUCGGACGUGUUACGCUUUAAGCCUCUUUCGGGAGGUUGCUACACGCUCAGUCUAACAAUCGAGUCGACGUGCCCUGGUAACAAAUCGAUCCUUGCGGGCAGUCCAGGGCGAGAUGUGAGAAGUCCGUCUUGUACCUGGUACGGCAAUGGUAGGCGAGGGUGCUUAACGCUAACCCGUCUCUUGUGCUCCUAUCGCUGAAGGGGAGUUUCAUCCAGCACAGCAAGAGCAACCCGUGAUGGAGGCGACUGGGAUUACACUUGUCCUCGUAUAAGGGAUUUAUCCCUUCGUUGUGGGCGUGAAUCUCAUCCUAUGGAAUGUGAAGAUACUAGAACCCUG